AUGACGUCAAGUCCUCAUGGCCUUAUGCUUAGGGCUACGACACGUGCUACAAUGGGUAGUACAAAGAGAAAGCCGAACUCGCGAGAGUGCGCAAAUCUCAAAAAGCUAUCCUAAGUUCGGAUUGAAGUCUGCAACUCGACUUCAUGAAGCUGGAAUCGCUAGUAAUCGCGGAUCAGCAUGCCGCGGUGAAUACGUUCCCGGGCCUU
rnacentral:rRNA from 1 species